rnacentral:rRNA from 1 species
AUUGAACGCUGGCGGCAGGCCUAACACAUGCAAGUCGAACGAGUGGCGGACGGGUGAGUAAUGUCUGGGAAACUGCCUGAUGGAGGGGGAUAACUACUGGAAACGGUAGCUAAUACCGCAUACCCUCGGAUGUGCCCAGAUGGGAUUAGCUAGUAGGUGGGGUAAAGGCUCACCUAGGCGACGAUCCCUAGCUGGUCUGAGAGGAUGACCAGCCACACUGGAACUGAGACACGUUCCAGACUCCUACGGGAGGGAGCAGGGGGGAAGAUUGCACAAUGGGCGCAGGCCUGAUGAAGCCAUGCCGCGUGUAUGAAGAAGGCCUUCGGGUUGUAAAGUACUUUCAGCGGGGAGGCGUUACCCGCAGAAGAAGCACCUGCUAACUCCGUGCUAGCAGCCGCGGUAAUAC